rnacentral:misc_RNA from 1 species
GAUGAAGAACGCAGCGAAAUGCGAUACGUAAUGUGAAUUGCAAAUUCAGUGAAUCAUCGAGUCUUUGAACGCACAUUGCGCCCCCUGGUAUUCCGGGGGGCAUGCCUGUCCGAGCGUCAUUGCUGCCCUCAAGCACGGCUUGUGUGUUGGGCCCCGUCCUCCGAUCCCGGGGGACGGGCCCGAAAGGCAGCGGCGGCACCGCGUCCGGUCCUCGAGCGUAUGGGGCUUUGUCACCCGCUCUGUAGGCCCGGCCGGCGCUUGCCGAUCAACCCAAAUUUUUAUCCAGGUUGACCUCGGAUCAGGUGGGGAUACCCGCUGAACUUAAGCAUAUCAAUAAGCGGAGGA